rnacentral:rRNA from 1 species
AACGAACGCUAGCGGGAUGCCUCAAACAUGCAAGUCGAACGAGAAAGCACCUUCGGGUGUAAGUACAGUGGCGCACGGGUGAGUAACACGUAGCUAACGUACCCCCUCGCUGGGGAUAACUCCGGGAAACCGGAGCUAAUACCGAAUGAUCUGCUACGGUCUGCGGACUGUAUCAGUAAAGCCUUCGGGCGCGAGGGGAUCGGGCUGCGUAACAUUAGCUUGAUGGUGGGGUAACGGCCUACCAUGGCGACGAUGUUUAGCUGGUCUGAGAGGAUGAUCAGCCACACUGGAACUGAAACACGGUCCAG